CAGGUUUGCACACACUGCAGCAGGGAUUUUGUCCCACUCCUCCAUACAGACCUUUUCCAGAUCCUUCAGGUUUCGGGGCUGUCGCUGGGCAAUACAGACUUUCAGCUCGCUCCAAAGAUUUUUUUAUUGGGUUCAGGUCUGGAGACUGGCUAGGCAACUCCAGGACCUUGAGAUUGCUUUUUACGGAACCACUCCUUAGUUGCCCUGGCUGUGUGUUUCAGGUCGUUGUCAUGCUGGAAGACCCAGCCACGACCCAUCUUCAAUGCUCUUACUGAGGGAAGGAGGUUGUUGGCCAAGAUCUUGCGAUACAUGGCCCCAUCCAUCUUCCCCUCAAUAUGGUGCAGUCGUCCUGUCCCCUUUGCAGAAAAGCAUCCCCAAAGAAUGAUGUUUCCACCUCCAUGCUUCAUGGUUGGGAUGGUGUUCUUGGGGUUGUACUCAUCCUUCUUCUUCCUCCAAACACGGCGAUUGGAGUUUAGACCAAAAAGCUCUAUUUUUGUCUCAUCAGACCACUUGACCUUCUCCCAUUCCUCCUCUGAAUCAUCCAGAUGGUCAUUGGAAAACUUCAGACGGGCCUGGACAUGCGCUGGCUUGAGCAGGGGGACCUUGCAUGCGCUGCAGGAUUUUAAUCCAUGAAGGCGUAGUGUGUUACUAAUGGUUUUCUUUGAGACUGUGGUCCCAGCUCUCUUCAGGUGAUUGACCAGGUCCUGCUGUGUAGUUCUGGGCUGAUCCUUCACCUUCCUCAUGAUCAUUGAUGCCCCACGAGCAUCUCGAAACCUGGACCUGCCGUUCUACAACCGGGAGCACUACCCACUACUCCAAACAGAGUUGGAUAAUUGAUAUAGAAGAGUAAUGGUUUUACCAAGGUCACUAUACUAGGCACACCCACUGAAACUGUGUACGUUCGUUAAAUGUAUUGCCACAGUAAGGGAAAUACACGUUCCUGUCUUGUUAUAUCAUUCUCUCUUUGCUUCUUUGAAACUGUAUCUAAAAAGCUAGCUACUAAACUGUCAUUUCCAAUUUACCUUGAAUAACAGGUUGUGCGUCCAAUCAGCGACGACAGUCUUGUAUCUUUUGUGUCAUUGUUUUACUGGUUGUGUUUUGCGCUAUUGGGGGGAGUAUAUUUAUGGGGUGUGUGUAUUUGUAUUUGUGGGUAUGUUUUAUUAUGGGUGUAAUUGUAUUAAUGGUUGUGUUUUGUGCUAUUGGGAAUUUUACUUUUAUUGGAGGGGUGUAAUUGUAUCAGUGGUUGUAUUUUCUGCUUUGGGG
ensembl:lncRNA